UGGGGAAUAUUGCCCAAUGGGCGCAAGCCUGAUGCAGCCAUGCCGCGUGUAUGAAGAAGGCCUUCGGGUUGUAAAGUACUUUCAGCGGGGAGGAAGGGAGUAAAGUUAAUACCUUUGCUCAUUGACGUUACCCGCCGAAGAAGCACCGGCUAACUCCGUGCCAGCAGCCGCGGUAAUACGGAGGGUGCAAGCGUUGAGCGGAAUUACUGGGCGUAAAGCGCACGCAGGCGGUUUGUUAAGUCAGAGGUGAAAUCCCCGGGCUCAACCUGGGAACUGCAUCUGAGAAUGGCAAGCUUGAGGCUCGUAGAGGGGGGUUGAAAUCCAGGUGUAGCGGUGAAAUGCGUAGAGAUCUGGAGGAAUACCGGUGGCGAAGGCGGCCCCCUGGACGAAGACUGACGCUCAGGUGCGAAAGCGUGGGGAGCAAACAGG
rnacentral:rRNA from 1 species